AGUAUAAUAAAAAAAUUUAAAAAAGAAACAACAUUUAAUGAUAUCAUAAGGUGUGUUUGGCGGAACUGUAAGUUCCUUAAAGAAAAGCUUCCUACCCCACACACCUUGGGGUAUCCACAGCAGAGCUGGAUAGAUUAUAUGUCUGGGUUACAAAAUAUUGUUUUGAGGCUUGAAGAGGGGUUCUGUUUUGAAACAACGCUGAUAUUUAAGUCUCUAUUUCAGGGUACCCUCUCUGUUCUUCUCAGAGAUAAUUCUUUUCAUAAUUCAAUAAAAAGGGGAAAAAUUGCUAAUAUUUAAAGAGAGUUUACAGUUGCCAGGUAAAAUACUAAACAUUCCAUGUAAGUUAUGACAUAAUCACAAUAACCUUAUAACUGGGGUGUGGUUAUUGGUUCCAUUUAUCUUGGGGUUGCAAAAUAGAUGUUUUUAAUGUUGUCCACUUUUGGUUGGGGGAGGGGAAAAUGAGGAAAUGUUGAUCAAAGAGCACACCAUGUCUUAGUUAUGAAAGAUGAACAAGUUCUGGAGAUCCAAUAUACAACACCAUGACUAUA
rnacentral:lncRNA from 10 species